rnacentral:rRNA from 1 species
GAUGAACGCUAGCUACAGGCUUAACACAUGCAAGUCGAGGGGAAACGGCAUUGAGUGCUUGCACUCUUUGGACGUUGACCGGCGCACGGGUGAGUAACGCGUAUCCAACCUUCCCAUUACUGUGGGAUAACCUGCCGAAAGGCAGACUAAUACCGCAUAGUCUUCGAUGACGGCAUCAGAUUUGAAGUAAAGAUUUAUCGGUAAUGGAUGGGGAUGCGUCUGAUUAGCUUGUUGGCGGGGUAACGGCCCACCAAGGCUACGAUCAGUAGGGGUUCUGAGAGGAAGGUCCCCCACAUUGGAACUGAGACACGGUCCAAACUCCUACGGGAGGCAGCAGUGAGGAAUAUUGGUCAAUGGACGGAAGUCUGAACCAGCCAAGUAGCGUGCAGGAUGACGGCCCUAUGGGUUGUAAACUGCUUUUGUAUGGGGAUAAAGUUAGGGACGUGUCCCUAUUUGCAGGUACCAUACGAAUAAGGACCGGCUAAUUCCGUG